AUGGUGUCGGACUCGGAGCUGGUGGAGCGGCUGCGGGAGGUGCUGCGGGAGUCGGACCUCACCACCACCACCACCGGCGCCCUGCGCCGCCGCCUCGAGGAGGACUUCGGCGUCGACCUCUCCGACAAGAAGACCUUCGUCCGGGAGCAGGUCGACCUCCUGCUCUCCGAGUUCGCCGACAAGGCCGAACCGGAGGAUGCGCCCGCGGAGGAGGAGGAUCCGGGGGAGGUGACGCCGGAGGCCGGGGAGGGGGAAGAGGAGAAGGGCGAGGGGGAGGAGGAGGGGGGCGAGCAGCAGGAGGGGGAGGAAGAGGAGGAGGAAGAGGAGGAGGAGGAGGAGGAAGACGAGGAGAGUGGCGGCGGCCGGAAGAAGAAGCGGCGGUUGGGUGACGGCAAGAAAAAGGCUGGUGGCUUUACAAAAUUAUGCAGCAUUUCCCCAGCACUUCAAGAGUUUGUCGGUGCCUCUGAGUGUGCCAGGACAGAGGUUGUCAAGAAGCUUUGGGCAUAUAUUCGAGAAAAUAAUUUGCAAGACCCAAGCAAUAGGAGGAAGAUUCUGUGUGAUGAGAAUCUGAAGAAGAUUUUUAACGUCAAUUCAAUUGAUAUGUUCCAAAUGAAUAAAGCUUUGACCAAGCACAUUUGGCCAUUGGAUUCUGAUGGUCCUGUCUCACCAAAGAAAUCGACACCCAAAGAGAAGUCGACACCCAAAGCGAAGCCUCAAAAGAGAGACAGAAGUGAAGCAAACAAGCAAAAAGGAGGAUCCUCUGGGUCUACUUCUGGUCUUCUUGCGCCCCUUGUACUUUCGGAUGAUUUGGCAAAAUUUAUCGGCACCGGUGAGAGUAUGUUGUCACGAUCUGAUGUUGUGAAGAGAAUGUGGGUUUAUAUAAAAGAGAAUAACUUGCAGGAUCCUUCUGACCGGAGGAAAAUAAUCUGCGACGAGAAGCUGAAGGAUCUAUUCCAAGUUGAAUCAUUCACUGGAUUCACUGUGUCGAAGCUGCUGAACCCCCAUUUUACAAAGGCAAAGUAG
rnacentral:rRNA from 1 species